UAGGGAAUCUUCCACAAUGGACGCAAGUCUGAUGGAGCAACGCCGCGUGAGUGAAGAAGGGUUUCGGCUCGUAAAGCUCUGUUGUUAAAGAAGAACGUGGGUAAGAGUAACUGUUUACCCAGUGACGGUUAUUUAACCAGAAAGCCACGGCUAACUACGUGUCAG
rnacentral:rRNA from 1 species